GGGGAGAUUACUGUCACAUUGGAUGAGGAAGUGGGAGAAUUAGAGAAGAAUGGAAAUCCGAUUAACAUCAUCUCAGGUCUUUUGCAGGCUCCAUCAGGUUUUCUUCCAGAAUGGUCCUGUAUUUGGCUCCAUCCAUCCCAUCAAUUAUAACCAUCUUCCCUGUCCCUGCUGAAGAAAAGCAGGCCCAAACCAUGAUGCUGCCACCACCAUGUUUGACAGUGGGGAUGGUGUGUUGUGGUUGAUGAGCUGUGUUGCUUUUACGCAAUUUUUAUAAAAUAUAUCACCAGCCACUUUAAACAAUGCUACCUAAUAUAAUGUUUACAUACCCUACAUUAUUCAUCUCAUAUGUAUACGUAUAUACUGUACUCUAUAUCAUCCACUGCAUCUUUAUGUAAUACAUGUAUCACUAGCCACUUUAACUAUGCCACUUUGUUUACAUACUCAUCUCAUAUGUAUAUACUGUACUCGAUACCAUCUACUGUAUCUUGCCUAUGCUGCUCUGUACCAUCACUCAUUCAUAUAUCUUUAUGUACAUAUUCUUUAUCCCCUUACACUUGUGUAUAAGACAGUAGUUUUGGAAUUGUUAGUUAGAUUACUUGUUGGUUAUUACUGCAUUGUCGGAACUAGAAGCACAAGCAUUUCGCUACACUCGCACUAACAUCUGUUAACCAUGUGUAUGUGACAAAUAAAAUUUUAUUUGAUUUCUCUGU